rnacentral:rRNA from 1 species
GACGAACGCUGGCGGCGUGCUUAACACAUGCAAGUCGAACGGAAAGGCCCUGCUUUUGUGGGGUGCUCGAGUGGCGAACGGGUGAGUAACACUUGAGUAACCUGCCCUUGACUUUGGGAUAACUUCAGGAAACUGGGGCUCAUCCCGGAUAGGAGCUCCUGCUGCAUGGUGGGGGUUGGAAAGUUUCGGUGGUUGGGGAUGGACUCGCGGCUUAUCAGCUUGUUGGUGUGGUAGUGGCUUACCAAGGCUUUGACGGGUAGCCGGCCUGAGAGGGUGACCGGCCACAUUGGGCCUGAGAUACGGCCCAGACUCGAACGGGAGGGAGCAGUGGGGAAUAUUGCACAAUGGGCGGAAGCCUGAUGCAGCAACGCCGCGUGCGGGAUGACGGCCUUCGGGUUGGAAACCGCUUUCGCCUGUGACGAAGCGUGAGUGACGGUAACGGGUAAAGAAGCACCGGCUAACUACGUG